CGGCACUUGCACAUGGGU
rnacentral:sRNA from 1 species